rnacentral:rRNA from 1 species
UACGGGGGGGGCAAGCGUUGUUCGGAAUUACUGGGCGUAAAGGGCGCGUAGGCGGUUGGAUAAGUCAGCUGUGAAAACCACGGGCUUAACUCGUGGCCUGCAGUUGAGACUGUCUAGCUUGAGUGUGGGAGAGGAGAGUGGAAUUCCUGGUGUAGCGGUGAAAUGCGUAGAUAUCAGGAGGAACACCGGUGGCGAAGGCGGCUCUCUGGACCACAACUGACGCUGAGGCGCGAAAGCCAGGGGAGCAAACGGG